CACAAUAUUGAGCAAAUGCCACAUAUCACAUGUGGGCAAUAAGAGUACUGUUGCAAACUUGCAAUUCCCAUAUAUGUGGCAAUUUCCCCUUAUACUCCACCAAUUGUCACAUAUAUGCCACAUAUAUGGGAAUGACAACACUAGGGCUGGGCAUGGUCCCAGAUCGGUAACCAAUUUCCAAAGCCCGGUCUUUGCAGUAAAAAUUUUCGAGAUCGGAACAAGCCCGGACCGGCAUAAACCGAGCCGGUCUUACCAGUUUUCGGGCUUUUUUCCAGUUCGUCGUCGGUCGCCGCCGAUUCGACCUGAAUCAAGUCCUAGCUCUCCAAAAAGUUCUCCCACUUGCGCCAAUUCCCUCCCCUCUUCAUGCAAUCCCUGAUCCCUCUACUCUCACUCAAUCGACUAUCCCAUCUCUCUCAAUUCAUUCCUAUCAAAAUUAUCAAAAUCAGAAACCGACACAACCACUGCCGUCAAAUCAAAACCAAAACAAAUGCAACAAUAAGAAAUAAAGAAAAAAUAAAAAACUAAAACGAGAUAUCUCAUGGACUAACGAUAUGAAAAUCACAGAGCUUCCAAAAACGAGUGUUGGAUAUCUGGAAAUCUGGAGCUUUUUUGAAUUGUCUGACUGGGUAAGAUCUAGCACUGAGAGGGAUUGAAUUGAAAUUGAGAGAGAAACAGGGAAUUUCAACUUGAGAUUGAAUAGGAUUAUAGUGGAGAGAAAGAGAGAUUUGGGAAAGUGUUUUGAUUUGUGAGAGAGGGAACUAAUUUUUCUGGGUGUUCUUCUUCUGCCACACAGAGAAUUG
rnacentral:lncRNA from 1 species